AUUGAACGCUGGCGGCAGGCCUAACACAUGCAAGUCGAGCGGAUGAAGGGAGCUUGCUCCUGGAUUCAGCGGCGGACGGGUGGGUAAUGCCUAGGAAUCUGCCUGGUAGUGGGGGAUAACGUCCGGAAACGGGCGCUAAUACCGCAUACGUCCUGAGGGAGAAAGUGGGGGAUCUUCGGACCUCACGCUAUCAGAUGAGCCUAGGUCGGAUUAGCUAGUUGGUGGGGUAAAGGCCUACCAAGGCGACGAUCCGUAACUGGUCUGAGAGGAUGAUCAGUCACACUGGAACUGAGACACGGUCCAGACUCCUACGGGAGGCAGCAGUGGGGAAUAUUAGACAAAGGGCGAAAGCCUGAUCCAGCCAUGCCGCGUGUGUGAAGAAGGUCUUCGGAUUGUAAAGCACUUUAAGUUGGGAGGAAGGGCAGUAAGUUAAUACCUUGCUGUUUUGACGUUACCAACAGAAUAAGCACCGGCUAACUUCGUG
rnacentral:rRNA from 1 species